UUCCUACCCUUUUGAAGGCAGGACACUGAGCAGAGUGAGGGGCACGGAGGGCAGCCUUCCACAGGGUGUCUUCCUCUACAGCAGUGUCAGUCCCAGUGCUCAUCACGCCCUCACCCCAGCCCCAGCGACAGGUCACACUUCCAGACAAGCCACGUGUUCCGAGUCUUCAUUAGCAUAAGCCUAACUUCUUCACGUUUUGACAUCUAACCACUGGAGCUGAAUCUGUCCAUCCGGCUCUGUGGCUAAGAGGGUUGUGUGGAGCUUAAGAAACUGAUCCUGGGCGAAGAUCAUCCUGUAUAUUCUCAGCAUACGGUAACAUCACUACUGAUCAACUUUCUAUGAAUAUUAAAAUUGUCCCAGUACAAACAGCUCAGCCUGUCGCUCAUCAAGGACCUCUGACACUACUAUGUUUCACAGCAAUCAGCAACAAUGCCAUGUGCUUCCCCAGGGAGGUAACAGAUACUCUUAGGAGCCACAAACGAAGGAAAAGUACAUAGGGGGACAAUAACAUGGCCCUGCAAGGGUUUUCUGCACAAGAUUCCCUUUGUCUCUUGCCAGAGAUAGAAAAUGAUACACACGCAAAUCAGGAGUAACUGCCUUGGAAAGAAAAACUGGUAAAAGAAACAUUCAGCAGAAUGAAAAAAUUCUGAACCCAGUGACACCUGUCUGUAACAUUUAAGUGGAAUCUGCAAACACUGAGCAACAGUUUCCGAAAGCAGCUAACAAAGAGCUUGUAGCACCUGGAGCUCCACCCACUAACUAGCUGGACCAACAGCUGAUACUUCAAAGUAAAGGCUGAGACUUCUGUCACAAAAAUUGUUCAGUAAAAAGGCCAACUUCUUAGCCCUAAACAGACAAGAAGAGAUCUGAUACAACAGAAAUUUUAAUCCAGUGGCUCUACUAUGCCCAUUCCAAACUGGGAGACAAUGUCCAAGUGUUAAGACUACCAAAAGGAGGGGCCGCCCCCGUGGCGUAGUGGUUGGGUUCAGC
rnacentral:lncRNA from 1 species